UUUUUCUCAUUUAUUUUUACGGUUCAAUAUAUGAGAUAAUAUAUCAGUUAUUGUGUUCUUUUGCGAGUAACAAAAACACUAAGUUAAAUUGGUUUAAAUAUUAAAGAAAUGUAAUAUCUCACAAUAAUUGGAAUUUUAGAGAUAAGGCAGGCUUUAGGUACAGUUCUGUCUGUGGCUCCCUCUUGUCAUCAAAAAUUCAUGAUAUUUCUUGAUCCUUUUAUUCUGCCUCGUUAACCCUUCGUCUUGCUUCGGUCUAGCUCAUGUCAGGGUACAAGUGGUCACCAGUGGAAACUGAAGGCAAAAAUGACUCCUUUAAAAUUCCAUUUAACAGGAAAAAGGAGAAAAUCAAGCAUAUAAUACAAGGCUUUUCUUUGGUGCUAUUUGGUCUGUUUAUUUCACAUGCUCAAUCAUGAAUGAAUGACAGGACAUACACUAAUGACAUUAACUGAGUUAGAAUAACCAGGAUUCAUACCAGGAGAUGAGGAUGAGGGGCACCUUUCUCUGAGUGAUUUUUGAAAUGGGUAAAUUCUUGAACAAAACUGGAGAAACAAAGAAGAGACUGGGAAGUUCAAAAUCAAGGCUCCAGCACAUUUGGUGUCUGGUGAGGACAAGAUCCUUACAGAUGGUGGCUUCUAUGUAUCCUAACAUGGUAGAAGAGGCAAAGGACUUGCUGCUGCCUGCAGACCCGUUUGUAAGAGUACUAAUCCCAUUCCUGAGGGUAGAGCUCUCGUGACUUAAUUACUUCUUCAAGACCACACCUCUUAAUGCUGUUACAUCUGAUAUUAGUUUCCAACAUAUGAAUUUUGGAGGCACAUCAACAUUCAGACCAAAGCGGUAUUUAUUUCUUGUGUAUCAUAUUAAAUUUCUUGUGUAUCAUAUUUCUUGUGUAUCAUAUAUCAUUUCUUGUGUAUCAUAUACCUUUUUAAUGCAUGCAUAAUUUUAUAAAUAAUAUUUACAUAUUUACUAUUGUUGUGUAUGUUUAAAACCUUAUGUUUGUUCUAUAUGUUUCUGUUGUCACUAAUUAUUAUGCUUUUCAUAUUGGUCCAUAUUGAUAUAUGUGGUUUUUAUUCAUUUAUUUUGACAGCAAUAUAGUAUUUAGCUUGCUCAAUACUUUAUAAUAUUUUUAAUCCUUCCUUCUGAUUAACAUUGCUCCACAUUCUCACACCAUUGUAUAUUUUUAUACUUUUUAAUAUUUGCCAAACUGAAGAAUAUAAAAUAGUAUUUCAUAAAACUUCAACUUUAAUUUGUUAAUUACCAUUGAUACUAGGAGACUUGUCUCGUAUUUACUGGCCAUUAGAUUUCCUUUUCUUACAUUGUUCAUUUUGUGGUACUAAUUUGUUGGUUUUUAAAAAUUAUUUACUCUGGUUACUAAUAUUUUGCAAAUAUAUUUGAAUAGUCUUUGCUUAUCUUACACUUGGCAAUGUUAUUUAUUUUAUAGAUUUUGUUAAAGUUUAAUAUAUGCAAAUUUAUCAAUCUAUUUAUUGAUUUGUAUUUUUUAAUGAUUGUUUAGUUUAUACUAUGUUCCAUACACAGGUCUGUUGGAUAAGACAAUCCUCCAUGGCCUCUGAGCACUGUUGCACAUCUUUAAUAUAUAGACAAAAAUACAAGUUCUGGAUUGCUCUUUACAAAGCCCGUUCCUCAGGGUUGCCUUUGCAACAAGUAACUUGAAAGGAUGAGGUAAUGUCUCUCUCUAGACAAAAUGGAGGCUUGCUUAUCACUCAUUAUAGAAGAAACAGAUUUUCUAAGCUCUAGGUUUCUUAGCUUCGAUACAAAAAUCACUCUUUGGAGGAUAUACCUGGGCCCAUACCACGGUACUCCAUGGAAUGUGGGGGUAAGAGGAAUCAGACAUAAACAAAUAAGCUCAUGUUCUAGAUGUAUGCAGUGCUAUGAGUAGUAAGUCCUUAGUCUCUGACUUAAGAGUCUUGUGUCUUCUGCCAUGAGUUUCCUUGUUAUCUUGUAAGAGGCAAAAAAUUACAGAAUGUUACAGGUUUGGGUGCUUAGAAACAUUAUAGCAUAGAAGAGGCAAAGAGUCCUUUCAUGAUGGAGCCUGCAUUCUAACAGAAAGAAAGAGACAACAAACAACACAAAUAAGGAAAUUUUGUAAUAUACAAGAAGAAGUUAAGUGCUAUGGAAAAUAUGAAGGAGACUAAAGAUUGGCAGUGCUGGGACAAGAGAUCAUGCUAUUUGUAUUUUGUCUAUAUUUUUUUCAUAAGGCUAAAACAAGGUUAACCUAUAUUUUCUUCUGAAAGUUUAAAUUUUACUUAUUGUAUUUUGGUUUAUAAUUUACUUGGAAUAUAUUUUUGGGCAUGCCAGUCAUCCAAUUUUAUUACAUUUUUUCAUCAGGAUAAUCAAUUGUCUCCAGGUCCAUUUAUCAAAUUCUUACGGGUUAUUUUAAAUGAUGAGAAUGGUAUUUGAUUCCACGAUGAGAGAUACACUCAGUGAUUUAAAAUAUUAGUAUAGAUGCAGUAAAUGUUUUGGUGUAAUUUUGCUUCAUAUUAAAAAAAUCUUUCGAAAACAGCUAUAGUUGACUAAUAACACAACAGGUGUUCUUUCCUUUAAACAAAGAAAUAAUAUGGUAUUCAAUUAUUAAACAAAUAUUUGCUGGUCAUCAUCUUCUGAAUUAUUUUACCUUGAGGCAUAUAGCAUGAGAAUAUACCUACCUUUUCAUUAUGGCUAACCAAUAGCCAAAUUUCAUUAAAUUUGGGACACCAUCCUGAAGAUCAAUGAGAAGGAGGAAUCCUAGUAUGGUUUUCAAGUAUAUAACCGAAUGUCUAUUUGUAUUAGCUUCAGUGGUUCUUUUCUGGGAAUAGAGCUUUCAGAACGUUUAUUAAUAUUAAAUGUUAGAAGUCCCGUUUCUAUUAAAUAAUGAAAGAGAAGCAAUUUAUAUUAUUUAUUCUAGAAACCAACUAUCAAAGUAACUCUCUUGCUUCAAAAUAUCUGAGUACCCUUCAGAUGGGGAACUUUUACAAACCAUCUUAUUGUUUAGCCUUUUUUAUCACAGAGAGACUAUCACUGUAUGUAAUGAUUAAAGCAUCUAUCCCCAUUACAAUAUUGCUCAGGUACUUAUUUUAGAGCCAGUCAACAUAUGUGAAUCCAGAGGUUUGCAGUUUUGAAUUAAUUAUAAAUUGAUGGGUUUAGUAAUAUGAAGACAUUGGACAUAGGCACAUGUUGCAUAUUUUCCUAAGUCUCUGAAUUUCAUACUCUCUUCAAUGUCUUUGAAAAUUAUUAGUCAGUAUUUCAAGGGAGAAUGGUGUUCCUCCAAAAGUUUUGACUAGCAAAUACCACAGGGUCUUUUUACUAAAGACCUCCUGAUAUCACAUUAUUCCCCAUCCAUGUUUCCAAAUUGGCAUCAAUGAUUAUGAUAAACUUAAAUUGUUUUGUGGGAACUGCAAAGCUAGUAUGUUAGCAUUGGCCCUAUCCCUCAACCAAGGCUCCAUUUUAACAGCUGUUGGACAGAUAUCUUGCUGUCAAAGUGGUGUGGACUGGACGGACCAUCUCUAACACCUCUUGUGGCUCCAAGAUAUUUUUAAUUCUAUUAAGUUGGUGGAAUAUAUCCAGGGCAGUGGUUGAAAAAAAUUUGUGUCAACAUACUUUAAGUAAUAAUUAUAAUCUUUUCUUCUCACAGUUAUUCAUCUUUUUAAAAAGUCAUUUCUCCAGCUUAUUUAAUUCCUCAAAAAUCAAAUUAUCAUCCAUUAUACAUUAGCAUUUGCAAACUUUUACAUUCAUGGUUACUUCCUACUCUCACUCCCAUAAGUCUGUGAAAGACAGCUAGUAAAAUCAGCCCAAGAAAUUCUAUCCAACUGGAAAGCAAAUGAAUAAACAAUAAAUAAAUAAACAAACAAACAAAAAUCACAUAUUCCUUACUUGAAAAAUGAAGUUUUCUUUUAUCUCAUAGCUAGCUAAUAACUACUUGAAUCUAAUACUAAGAAAACACAAUGAGACCAGAGUUUACUCACCUUGGAGUAGGGUGUAUCAUUCCAUUUGUUCAAGCUCCUCUAAUCCACACAUUCUUAAUUUUCUCAAGUCUCUUACUUCACACAAUCAGGUUUGCAUAUAAGUCAGAAAUAAUGCCAUUAAUAGCAAAUUCUAACAGCCACUAAAAUCCUGGCCUCCACACUAAAUAGUGUCUUCUUCUCAGAUAAGAUUAUUAUUAAGAGACCAACAUUUCAAUUCUGACUAUGCUACCAAUCAGUUAUGUGACCAGGGACACAUUAUACAGCUUUCAUUGACAAUUUCCUUAGCCUUGAAGUAUAUAUAAUAUUUAGCCUUUAUGUUUUUAAUGUUGCUUUUAUAUGUCUAUGGUGUUUGAUUUUGCAUAUAGUGUAUACAAAUAAUGUGUGCAUACUCAAAGUCUCUGAAAAUGAAAAAGUGCCUCAAAUCAUUAUUAAUAUCUAUCUCCAUAGACCAUCAUCAUCUAUAUCAUCUAAGCACAGUUAGAAAUGGAGAAACUUUGUGAGAAACUUUUCUUCAAACUAUCAGAAAAGAGGCACUUUCUUUUGUUUGGGACUACUAGUUGGAAGAAAAAUGUUAAGUGUAAGUCUGCAGAUAGUCAUAUUAGCCACUGCACAGAGAGCUUGCCCAGAAAUGAAGCAAUGAAGUUACCACAGAGGAUAGCAGAGCUAAGAAAUGGAGAGAGAGAAAGAGAGAGAGAAGGGACAAUAUUACAUAUCUUUGAAGACACACUUUGAGUAUUUUUUCAAGCCAGAUUCUUCUUUUGAACACACCAGUUACAUUAAUACAUCAACAAAUUCACUUUGGUUAAUUUUAGUUGUUGCUAUUUUUAUUCAUUUAAUUAAUUAAUUUAUUUUUGAGACGGAGUCUCACUCUCUGGCCCAGACUGGAGUGCAGGUGCAAUCUCGGCUCGCUGGAAACUUUCCCUCACAGGUUCAAGAGAUUCUCCCACCUCAGCCUCCCGAGUAGCUGAGACUACAGGUGUGCACUCUAAUUUUUGUAUUUUUGGUAGAGACGAGGUUUCACCAUGUUUGCCAGGCUGGUCUUGAACUCCUGACUUCAGGUGAUCUGCCUACCUUGGCCUCCCAAAGGGCUGGGAUUACAGCUGGGAACCACUGUGCCCAGCUUAGUUACUGCUAUCAAAAUUAUAGUUGAUUUUUUAAAAAAUUUCCCUUCUCAGAAGUUGAGUUAAAGAGUCAACUUUGUUUAUAAAAUCUUUUUAAGAAAAAGUAUCCUCAUUCCUGAAGGGAGAUAUCAAAGUCUCCCGGAGUUAUAAUGAGUUUAGUCAUGUAUUCUCAUGCAGAAUUAAAAGUUACCUCCCACUAUCUCAUCCCAUAAAGUGGACACAAAAUUAGAAUAUGCCCUUGAGAAUUUAUUCUGCAUAUCAGUCACUGAAAGAGAAGUCUAUUAAAAGUUCAGGAUAUUUUUGAGAAAUAUAUGCUCUAGCACUAGAGAAAUAAGUAGUGUACAAACUAGAGUGAACACAUUGGCAAUUACUAGAGACCAAGAAUGGAGAAUGCGCUGUAUAUAGAAAGCCCAAGAGGCCUGUUCUUUGAGAUUAUUUGUGUCCUUGAUGUGUUUAAUUGCUUCUAUGACUGUGUUUGUGUGUGUUAAGAAUCAGAGAAGUUUGCAGGUCAGUCCUUUGGACAUUUACCAAAAAGCAAAAAUAAUAGGUGUACAUAUAUUGUGAUGUUUGAGAAUGCCUAGGGAAGCUGUGCUGUUUGAGUAUUCAUAGAUCCAGAGGUAUGGCUAUGGCCUGCUUAGAACAUACGGCGACUGGACCUACUCUGUGUUGACUUUUGUCCUAAUUUCAUAGUGACUUUUUCAUGGCAUCUGAGUGUAUCUUUGGAAGAGAGGAAGAGCAAGGGAAGCACACGCAGGGAAGAAAUAUGGCCACGUCAUUCAUCAAGACAUGGAUAAAUAAUGUGGAUGUGAAUGACCAGAAGAGUUCAAAUCUUGCCAAGCCAUUUUAUUAGAGGGCUUUGAGAAACUAGCUAAAGAUAUUCUCUUUUUUGUUUGUUUGUUUGUUUUGUUUUUUGUUUGUUUGAAUUGAGACUGAGUCUCGUUCUGUUGCCCAGGCUGGAGUGCAAUGACACAGUCUCCGCUCACUGCAACCUCCACCUCCCAGGUUCAAACGAUUCUCCUGCCUCAGUCUCCUGAGUAGCUGGGAUUAUAGGUGCCCGCCACCAGGCUAAUUUUGUAUUUUUAGUAGAACCACCAAGCCCUGCUAAUUUUUGUAUUUUUAGUAGAGAUGGGGUUUCCCCAUGUUGGCCAAGCUGGUCUCGAACUCCCGACCUAGUGAUCCGCCCACCUCGGCCUCCCUAAGUGUUGGGGUUACAGGCUGGGGUUACAUUGCUCAUCCUAUUUUCUUAUAGUUCCUUAAAUAGCAGCAUACUGAGGAGUGUAGAUCUCACCCUUACAUGUCUUUUAAUACAUAUUUAUUUUAUAAAUAUAAAGAAUUUUCUAAAAUUUUGCAUGUUACAUUUUACAAGGGGCAUAUUAAUCUCUACAUGUAUUUGUUUUAAUUCAUGUCUUGUAGAAUUUAUGUCUGUGUCUGUGUUCCAUAUUUCAUAGCUAAGAAAACUGAAACUUUAAAAACUCUGAUAAUGUAAUAAAUUUCACACAGCUAAUAAGGAUAAGAGAAGUACAAGAGAAUGUACGCUCAAAAAUACUCUUUGCAAAAAUACACUUUGCAAAGUUACAAAACAAUGGAUCAACUGUUAAUCUGUCCUUAGACAAAGAGGAGGAAAAUAUUCC
rnacentral:lncRNA from 1 species